rnacentral:rRNA from 1 species
CGACCGGCGCACGGGUGAGUAACACGUAUCCAACCUGCCGUCUACUCUUGGACAGCCUUCUGAAAGGAAGAUUAAUACAAGAUGGCAUCAUGAGUCCGCAUGUUCACAUGAUUAAAGGUAUUCCGGUAGGCGAUGGGGAUGCGUUCCAUUAGAUAGUAGGCGGGGUAACGGCCCACCUAGUCUUCGAUGGGUAGGGGUUCUGAGAGGAAGGUCCCCCACAUUGGAACUGAGACACGGUCCAAACUCCUACGGGAGGCAGCAUG